rnacentral:lncRNA from 1 species
UUUAUUCAUGAUUAAUUGUUGAUAAUGGGUGAAUUAAGCGUGGUAAGCCUUAUGAGUGAAGUAUUGGUGAUUGCUUGGAUUUUUGGUGAUUUUGGCUAUGGCUUUGAAUUAUGGUAAGAAAGCUUGAACUCUCUUUAUUGAAUUAAUUGUUGUUGGUAGGUUGAAUCCACCUUUGGUGGAAGUGUUAUAUCUUGUUCUUGUGUGGUAUUAUUGUGAAUUGUAGCCAUGAAGGCAUUGGGGAAGUUGUUGCAUAAUGUUGGAAUAUUGUAUUAUUGUGAAUUGAGGCCAUGAAGGGCAUUAUAUGAGUGUUAUUGUAUUGUUAUAUUAUUAUAUAUGAAUGAGGCUAUAUGUAAAGUCCUAUAUGAAGCUAUAUGUAAAGUUUUAUGUGAAGCUAUAUAUGUGAAGGUAUGAUGUGAAUGAGUUUAUGUGAUCUUGUGAUGAUCCUAUGUAAAGUGGAUAGCAUUGUGAGUUAAAGUAUGAUUUCUCAUGAUGUAUAUAUGAAAUGAUGUUGGAUUAUGAAGUAUCCUUAAAUGAAAAUGUCGUGACUUGGUUGGUAGACUAAAGUGUCCCUCCUUGUUACUUAAAGUCUUGAAUGCAUGAAUGUGUGAAAUGGGC